rnacentral:rRNA from 1 species
UACGUAGGGUGCGAGCGUUAAUCGGAAUUACUGGGCGUAAAGCGUGCGCAGGCGGUGAUGUAAGACAGGUGUGAAAUCCCCGGGCUUAACCUGGGAACUGCAUUUGUGACUGCAUCGCUGGAGUGCGGCAGAGGGGGAUGGGAUUCCGCGUGUAGCAGUGAAAUGCGUAGAUAUGCGGAGGAACACCGAUGGCGAAGGCAAUCCCCUGGGCCUGCACUGACGCUCAUGCACGAAAGCGUGGGGAGCAAACAGG